UCAGCAAUUUAUUUUUCUUGCACUCUUACUGUGUGCACUGUGCCAGCCUGGUGGUGCAGAGGUGAAAGAUCAAGUUCAUGUCAUCAAAUAGGUCACAACCAAACAGGGAGAAAGGCUCUGCACAAAAUGGUCCCCGUGCUUGGAACACUUCCUUCUGCUGGUCUCCUGUGGCAUGCCCCAUGCCCCACUAACUGCUGCUGCUAUCUCAGAUGUCCACACCCUCUGAUAGCCUGACUGUGAACAUGAACUUGGAGUGACCUUAAGAAGCAGAUGUGGAAACGUCAUCUUUAUAAAAUGAUUUGUAUUAAGAAUAUCUAUGCUGAAUGGACCAAUGUGGGUGGAAGAGAGUCUGGGACAGGCUAAGCAGCAGGUCAUGGCAAGAUGCAGUACUCAGAGAAUAAGACCUUAGGCCAAGACAUCUCUUCCCAACUCCACCAACUCCAUAGAACCGGGACGGCCAUGGAGGGUAGAGGAGACUCCCAGUCUGAUCAAGGCAGUGUCUGAGCUCUCCAAGACUGCCUAGGAUUCCUCAUGUUCAUCGUCGGUGUUCUGGGUCCCUCUGCCUGAACUCUUUCCCCUCCGGCCCCUCCCUCUUAUCCUUCAAGACCGAGCUAUUGGGGGUCGCCUCUAAGAAAGUCACCUGUCAGAGAGCCAUCUCCACUUCCUCGUACACCCAGGAACUAUGAGCUUGUACUUCUAGUUAAUACUCCUCUACUCAUAUCCAUACAUGGCUCACUAGUUUUCUAGCAGGGACUAUAAAAAUAAUUAUUUCUGAAAGUACCCUGCA